GAUUGAACGCUGGCGGCAUGCUUUACACAUGCAAGUCGAACGGUAACAGGCCGCAAGGUGCUGACGAGUGGCGAACGGGUGAGUAAUGCAUCGGAACGUGCCCAGUCGUGGGGGAUAACUACUCGAAAGAGUAGCUAAUACCGCAUACGAUCUAUGGAUGAAAGCGGGGGACCGUAAGGCCUCGCGCGAUUGGAGCGGCCGAUGUCAGAUUAGGUAGUUGGUGGGGUAAAGGCUCACCAAGCCAACAAUCUGUAGCUGGUCUGAGAGGACGACCAGCCACACUGGGACUGAGACACGGCCCAGACUCCUACGGGAGGCAGCAGUGGGGAAUUUUGGACAAUGGGCGCAAGCCUGAUCCAGCAAUGCCGCGUGCAGGAAGAAGGCCUUCGGGUUGUAAACUGCUUUUGUACGGAACGAAACGGCUCUGGUUAAUACCCGGGGCUAAUGACGGUACCGUAAGAAUAAGCACCGGCUAACUACGUG
rnacentral:rRNA from 1 species